CCUACGGGUGGCAGCAGUGAGGAAUAUUGGUCAAUGGACGAGAGUCUGAACCAGCCAAGUAGCGUGAAGGAUGACUGCCCUAUGGGUUGUAAACUUCUUUUAUAUGGGAAUAAAAUGUUCCACGUGUGGGAUUUUGUAUGUACCAUAUGAAUAAGGAUCGGCUAACUCCGUGCCAGCAGCCGCGGUAAUACGGAGGAUCCGAGCGUUAUCCGGAUUUAUUGGGUUUAAAGGGAGCGUAGGUGGAUUGUUAAGUCAGUUGUGAAAGUUUGCGGCUCAACCGGAAAAGUGCAGUUGAAACUGGCAGUCUUGAGUACAGUAGAGGUGGGCGGAAUUCGUGGUGUAGCGGUGAAAUGCUUAGAUAUCACGAAGAACUCCGAUUGCGAAGGCAGUUCACUGGACUGCAACUGACACUGAGGCUCGAAAGUGUGGGUAUCAAACAGGAUUAGAUACCCUAGUAGUC
rnacentral:rRNA from 1 species